GCAAGCCGAAGGGCAGCCACCGGUUUCCCGUAAGGGUUCAAACUGAGGAAACUCCACCCAUCACACAGAUCCACGGUGCUGUGAGGCACCUGCUGAGAAGCUGGACUCUGGAGCAGAAACGAAACGUCUUUUGGUGAAUGAAAAUGAAGCUUCAUCUAAAGAAGCAGAAAGACACUAAAAGGAACGGUGAAACGGCCAAUCCGUGGGAUGCAAGGGCAAAUGCUGCUGAUGAAAACUGUAUGAGGCAGAGGUAGUCCGCCUAGAUGAAUGCUGCCGAAACAGGAGGUGGGUUACUCCCGGCAUGC
rnacentral:RNase_P_RNA from 1 species